UUGCAGACCUCUCACUGUUCAAAGUUUGAAAGAGCUGAUCAAUGGCCUUCUGAGCUGAAGUCAACCCGCUUCAAAGAGAGAUGACUACCAACUGGUUAAGAUUAUCGAUUAUUCUCUGAGCCAAACGAAGCUCACCUUGAAGCCGACUUAUCUUAGCGACCGAACCCCACCUGGCUUCAUUAACAAUCUUGGAUGAUGCAAUGGUAUACUCCAGUUUGGAUAUCCUAUC
rnacentral:lncRNA from 1 species